UAUUUUUAUAAAUAAAUAUUUGCAAUUAUAUGUUGUCAUAAACGUUCAAAUUUAGAUAAUAAUUUUACCAGAUUCACUGGUUCUAAUAGUCAACAAUAAUAGUUUAUACUAACUAGUUCUUCUUAUACAAUAAAUUCUCACAUACCGAUGAACAUAUGUCGAGAAAACUUGCAAGUCAAGUUUUAUAAUUUUAAAAAGUUAAAAUCAUAACUUGAAAUUUGAAGUCCUCCUUUUUUGAGAAUUUAGAAUGUGAAAUCAUGAUUUGAAAUUGAAAUUGAUCCCCAAAUUCUAUGAUUAAAAGUCUACUAAUAUAGAAAGAGCUAUUUUAGGAGAAUUGACUAUGCAAAAUUAUUAGGGGCCUUUCCAUCAUAAAAAUUGUGAAAUUUCCAAAAAGUAAUUUCUUUUGAAGUGAAAAUUUAUAUUUGAAAAUUGAAAAUUGAAAUUUUGUUCACCCAUAAUACGAAAUUAAAUUAUUUUUUGAUUUUUUUUUUUGUGGUUUGGAGUGAAACAACAUUUGGUGCAUGACUUCUGAAAUUCAAUUAUUCUGAAUAAAAUAAAAACAUUUAUGACCAAGCGAUCACUUAAUCUCAUAUUUGAUUUCAUGUAAAUACUUAUUAAUUUCUUUCAAAGUACUGCAUAAUAUUUUGUUCUUUUUAAGUUAUAUUAUGUAUGUUCAGUCAAAUACAACUAUAUAAACUUAAAUAACUAGUGUAUAUAACUUUUGUUCAAUGUUCAAGUACAAUAUUUUGGAAAAUUAAACACCAUCAAUUUCAUCAAAUCCAAGUUAUUCGAUUCCCUGGCAUAUAUAUCAUAAUAUUUAUGCUAACAUUUUAUUUUAGACUUUGGAUUUCCAAACUUAGAGAAAUUGAUUAUUUAAAAAUGAAUUAUCACAAUGCAUGAAUAAGAAAUAAACUGAAGAAAAAGGAGCAAUAAAAAAUAGCUUUGAAGAUUUUAAUCAUUACAUAUAUAUAUAUAUAUAUAGUAGUAGCUAUGAAAGAUUCCUUUUGGUUGAAAUAUUACCAGACUCUUGGGCCUUUAUUUUUCCUUUACACUGCGCACUUCCAAACCUUGCCCAUGGUGACUACACAAAGUUAGGUUUAAAGAAUAAUCUCUUCAUACUAUUUUCUCUAUUAUUUGUUAAUGUAUUGCAAACACCUGACUGACUAAAAAAAUCAUGGUAUUGUACAUAUAUAUAUAUAGUAAAGAGUAGUCAAUUCAAGAUAAACAUCUUUUCUGAAAAAAAUAUUUUGUAAAUAUAGAGGAUUAUAUUAUAUAAACAUUUUAACGAAAAUUUGGGUAAGGAUAAUACUUUUCUAAUACACCAUAUCUUUUUACCCAUAGGCCAGCAUCAGCAGAUGAGUUUCAUUUUCAUAUAUAAGCAGCCACCACAUAUAUCACCAAUAUCUUAACAACUUUAAAAUAUCAAGAAAAAGAUUUAUAAUUAGGAAAUACAAUCUUAUGAAAAUCUACAUAAUUGUGUCACUAUAUUUUCAUAUCUAUACAAGCAACCAAUGAAACUCCUACUAAAUGAAAUAAACAAAGAAAGAAAGUAGACUCCUACUCCUAAAAUUUCCUAUCUCGAAUCUUAUCAAAAUCUAUUUGAUUGUCUCAACAGUGUAUUCAUAUCUUUAAAGAAGAUAAGCACCAAUAUAAUUCUGUCAUUACCACUUCUAAUAUUCUGGUAAUUUGAAAGCAGGAUAGAUGUAGUGUUUAUCAUUUAUGCAUGUCAUUUUUGAAUGGGAAUAUAUCAUGUUAAUUUUUCUGCACCAUGUCAAUUUUACGAGAAAAUGGUCAAAAGUCCCCAAUUUUUAUCUCAAAUCUCAACUACACACUCAAUUUUUAAAGGUGAUUUAUUACCCCCUGAAGUAUUUUAAAGUAGAAUUAUUAUCCCUGAACUAUUUUAAAAUAGAAUUAUUACCUCCGAAAACUAACAAUCAGUCAUUUGGAAUGUGGUGUGAUACACGCAUUGCCACGUCAUACCACGUUAUUUUUUUUUUUACUCUAAAAAAAUUAAUUAUUUAACUUUAUUAUUUUUUUUCUUUCUCCAUUUUUCAUUUUGCUCCAUUUUCUUCUUCGACCAAUUUCAUCUUCUUGGGUCAAAAAUGGAAUUUUUGAGAAAAAAUUGGCGGAUUAAUGAAGUUCUUGAAUGGCAGGUUAAUGAAGUUCUUGAAUGGCGGAUUAAUGAAGUUCUUCAAUCCAAUUUCAUCUCUUUUUGCUCAAGAUCACCAUUAAUGGCGAAUUCUUCCCUAUUGUGAAAAUUCAAAGCUUUGAGCUCGCCAUUAAUAGCUGAUCUUGAGCAAAAAUAGAGAAAAUCAAAGAAAUAGAUUGAAAAUUAUACGUGGGGUAUGUUGAAAAUUAUAUAUGGUAUUGUGGAAAUUCGAAGCUUUGAGGUCGCCAUUAAUGACGAUCUUGAGCAAAAAGAGAGAAAAUCGAAGUUCUUAAAUGUUUUUCAAGUUUUUUGAAUCGAAGUUCCCCAACUUCUUCAUUCAAGAAUUCAUUAAUCGGAGAAAUCUUAUUGUUUACUUAGUUCAAGUGUUUCUUGGUUUUGGUUUUGGAGCAAAAAGAAUUUCUUGAUUUCGGAGAAAUCCAUUAAUGAAGAAGAUGAGGAGGAACUCUAUUAAUGAGUUCUUGAAUUUUUGUUUUGAAAGAGAGAAGAAGAAGACAGGACGUGGCAAUUAGAAUUUAUUAAGAAAAAGUAAUAAUUAAAAUAUUUAUUAUAUUAUUAAAAAUAAUGAUGUGACAAUCAGAAAAUAAAGAAUUUAAAGUGAAAUGGGGUCAACUGAUGCGUGGGUGUAGUCACGUCCAGUGGCAGGUCAGCAACUGAGGGUAAUGAACUCGAUAAAAAUAAGUUUAGAAGGUAAUAGGUCAUCUUUAAAGGUUAAGUGUGUAGUUGAAAUUUUGAUAAAGGUUGGAGAUAAAUAUACUUUUUUCUCCCAUUUUAUUGAAGGUCUCUGAUCGUUUCAAUUUUUAUUAAAGGUCUCGAAGAGACUAUAAAUGCAGCUCAUACAUAGUGUGUGCGCACGCUAAAGAAGCCAAUAUGGGAGAGAGAACCUUAAGAACCGGGUCAAGCCAGAUCAAGAAAUUAGUUUUAAUUUUAAUAUAUAGAGAUACAAGUACUAUGACUGACACAUUCUAAAAGAAAUUUCGUGCCUUCAUAAACAUUUUGAUGCACACAGCAUGUAUAUUGAAGUAUAGAAGCGGAUCUGGAAUUUAAAGUUUGUGAGUUUUCAACUUAUAAUUUUCACCACUAGAUCAAUAACACACUUUGUUUGUGGGUUUUCAAUUUAUAAUUCUUAUAUAUUUAAUAGUUUUCGAAAACCCGCACUUUAUGUUGUGCAUCCGCCGCUGGAAGUAGAGACCAACAAGUGCAGCGGAUUAGGCUUCUUUUUUUUUUUUUUUUUUUUUUUUAAUUUGGAGGUCUCGUUUUUACGUUUUGGAUGUGAAUCUUUUUUUUGAAAAGUGAUUUUCAAAAUAACUCUAGCCUACGCAUCAUUAUUUUAAGUUGAUCGAAUUUUAAUAUAAUAUUUCUUUUAUUUCGGAAUAAGUGAAUUGUUGGGGUAUUUAUUGGUGUUUCAAAAUAAGUGAAUCAUUGAAUUUUUUUUCAAAUUUACCUUUAUGAUUUGACAAUUAAUUAACUUUUGAAAAGAUAUUACAUGGUCAACUUUUUCUUUUUUAGGAUAAAAAUAGAAAGUUGUGUUAAAUUUAUGUUUUUAAUGGUUUUUUUUUUAAUUUGUGUGUCAAAAUCUAAUAAUUCAUUUAUUAAUUAUGAAACGGAGGGGGUAUCAAAUUCUAAAUGUUGCCACCCACCAUGCUUAAUGGUGCAUUACGCUUUUGCUUACUAUUCUCUAUCAUGAGUCGGGAGCUUAUUGAAAAUAAUUUUUCUAUUUUUUUGAAGAUAGCAAUAUGAAUUGUGGACAUUCUAUCUUCUUCGGACUAAUUUAUGAUAAUACACGGAAUUUAUUGUUAUUGUUUUGUAUCAAAUUCCAAAUGGAAAAAAAGUAGAGGAAGAAUAUGAGACUAUGAAAGACAGCAACAGCAGGUCCGAUAUUUAAUUUUGAGAUUCUAAUACGUACUCAAAUAUUUACCUGGGCCCACUAGUCACCCCUAAUAAUCCCCACGCGUCCUAAUGCCAUAGCGCCUAUUAAACACAAUAUUAUUUGAGCAGCCCUUUCCCACACCUCAUACAAGCGCGUUCUCUUUCACUCACUACACCAUCAGUUCAAGUUCAAUCCCCAUCCAAUUGCUCUGCUUUUUUUUCUUCUUUUUUGAUAAUUAUGUUAUUCGGGUCACUUCAUUUUAUGACUUAUAUGUCAUCCAUCUCUCACAAACAUCAGGUAUCCACUCAUCAAGCAUAGGCAAAGCCAUCUAUAUCAAAGGAUGGGUGGUCAGCGCUACAUUUUUUGUCGAAAAAUUAUGUUGCAUAAGUAGACUAAAUGUUAGCUAUUAUAAGUGUGUAUUUAAUUUUGUAUAUUCUUAACAUAAUUGAGAAAAUGAUUUGCACACUUUUCUUUUGACUUUGCCACUGUCACCAAAGUUAGGAUAGAUGAAAAAAAUAAUUAGUAUUUUUUGUUUUGUCUAUCUUAAAAUUUGAACCUGAUGAUUCUCACCCACUUUGGUCACAUUCAAUUGCUUACAUUAAAUCUUUCUUAGGACUCAUUUGCUAAGAUGAAUAAGGGUUAAUUAAUACAUGAAUAAUUUAUGUCAUGUUUGAUUGGAAUAAAAUUAUGCAAUAAUUUAUUUUGAAAUUGGUUAUUUCGAGAUAGCAUUAUUAUUUUUAUUCCACAUCGAGAAUAUAAUAACUAAUCUUGUAACUUGCUUCCCAACCAAACGAGUCCUUAGAAAAUCAUCAUGAUUUUCACGUACCAGCAAGGAGCGUGAUGAAGUGUAAAGCAGUAACUAUUCAAACCGGAUACACGCGUCCAGUAAUAAGAACCUCCCACCAAAAAGUAUUCACCACUUUGGUUCUCACAAUUUAGAAAGGUACGUACGUGUCACCUUUUUUUGUCUCAGUGCUAUAUACGUGUCCACCUUCUCAUUGGCUAUUUCCUUCACACCAAUCACGACAGCCCAUUUCCCUGGAUACGCUGCUUUAUCAAGGGACCCACCUAAUCACUCUCCACCAAUCAUAACUCUUCACUAUUCUACGUUUGCCCUAGACACGUGUCCUCCUUUCACCCCUAUCACUGUGCUGUUACUAUGAUAAUCCGCUCGGCAACCGGUCAAUUCUCAUUUUCUCAGCCUAAAAACUACUACUCGAGAGAGUUCCUCACCCGUGAUGGACGGUGGAAAUGGUUGGCCUUCCGGUAAGUACGCCGGUGGACCGCACGAUACCACGAUAAUGAACCGGAUAAUGCUAAGAUUCCGACCGAUCGCACCUAAACCGGUCGCCGGCGGUUCAUCUAAUGGAUCUACACCGGAAGGGAACAACAUGGAACUUGUUAGCAAAAGAAGAGUGAAGAGAAAGUACGUUAGAGUUAAGAAAAAUAGCAAGUGCAAGUCUUGCAAAGAAGACGAAGCGAGAUCUUCGAUGUAUGGUGAUAACGGAACUGUGUUAACACUUCAGUUGAUGCCAGAAAGCAGUAGCGGAGUUAAGAGCUCACUUGAAAGUACCGGAUCUCGUCCUUUCUGGAUGAAUAAUAUUCAGAAAUCAGAGAACAAUAACGAUGUUUUAGCCGUAGGAUCAGAUCAGUUAGAUCGGAGGGUUGAGAUGCAGAAGAAGAGAGUUGUUGAGUCGUGGGUGAUGGUGGACCGAAUGACAAACGCGUUGGUAGAUGGAGAAGCGUUAGGAAGUACGGACAUGGAGAAGAUGAAGAAUCUGGAGGCUGACACGUGUCCAGGGAUGAUAUCAGACGGUUUAGAUAGGGUUCAGUGGGUGAAUCUGGCGUACAGGAGAAUGGUUGAUCCUCUAGAAGGUUCUGGAACGUCGUCGGAGCUGGUGACGUGGCUGGUAGUGAAGGAGAAAAUAGUGUUGCCUCAUUCGCCAGCUUUUGCAUGCACUGUGAGGAUACUGUACACGAAGCACUCACAGACAAUGCCAUGUGAUGUGUGGAAGAUGGAAUUUGGAGGAUUUGCAUGGAGGCUUGAUGAUAAAGCUGCUCUUAGAUUGGGUCGUUGAAGAUCGUAUCUGCAGCUUAGCGGGAGCUUUCGUGUAUCAGAACAAUUCCUGCUGUAUAAUCAGCAUAAAUGGAAUGGGUUUUGGAUAUGGAAUGCUUAGUUGGAAAAAAAGGAGAAUGAAUCAUUGUGCUCACAUACCACAUCAGAGGUACAAGUAACAGCUCAUACGCUGCAACAUAUAUUGAUUGAAAGGAUUAGGUUUUUCAGAGAAUCUCUGUAGACCAGAGAAAUGGGUCUAUAUAUGUCGUUAUAAAGUAGUACUUCCUCUGAUGUUCAUCCAAGUCUUAUUGGUUCUUUCUUCUUAAAAAUUGAUAUAGUUUAGAAAUGUGUCUAGGCUUUAUAUCAACCUGCUGUAGCCUUUUUAAUUUUGACAUGUGAAAUUAUCAUCUUAUGCAUAGAGCGUAGUACUAAUAUCUUCUUUACUUUGCUCUAGUUAUGUUUGCCCACACUUUGUUCUAUGGUGAAUAUAAAUUUGUUUGCA